ACGAGAAAGAGCUUCGGCUCAAGUACAGUGGCGAACGGGUGAGUAACACGUAGGAAUCAACCCUUUAGUGAAGGACAUCCUCGAGAAAUCGAGAGCAAUCCUGCAUACGUCCCUUCGGGGAGAAAGAUGGCUUUCGGGCUGUCGCUAAAGGACGAGCCUGCGCGCUAUCAGCUAGUUGGUGAGGUAAUGGCUCACCAAGGCUUUGACGGCUAGCCGGCCUGAGAGGGUGUACGGCCACACUGGAACUUAGACACGGUCCAGACUCCUACGGGAGGCAGCAGUGGGGAAUAUUGCGCAAUGGGCGAAAGCCUGACGCAGCGACGCCGCGUGGAGGAUGAAGGUCUUCGGAUUGUAAACUUCUGUUGGAUGGGAAGAAAUGCACAGUUCUAAUACAGCUGUGAGAUGACUGUACCAUCAAAGAAAGCACCGGCUAACUUCGUGCCAGCAGCCGCGGUAAUACGAAGGGUGCGAGCGUUAUUCGGAGUGAUUGGGCGUAAAGGGUGCGUAGGCUGUGCGUUAAGUCAACUGUCAAAUUUCCCAGCUUAACUGGGAGCAGGCGGUUGAAACUGGCGUGCUUGAGGAUGGAAGAGAGAAGUGGAAUUCUCGGAGUAGCGGUAAAAUGCGUAGAUCUCGAGAGGAACACCGAUGGCGAAGGCAGCUUCUUGGUCCAUUCCUGACGCUGAUGCACGAAAGCGUGGGGAGCAAACAGGAUUAGAUACCCUGGUAGUCCACGCUGUAAACGAUGGUCACUAGACGUUGGUUCCGCUCUGCGGGAUCAGUGUCGUAGCUAACGCGUUAAGUGACCCGCCU
rnacentral:rRNA from 1 species